GGGAAAUUGGUAAGGGUUCACUAUCCACUGCAGUUAAAAGGGCAUGCACGUCUAACUCUUAGAAAGAUUACAAAAAAAUAACAGUAAGGACAAUUUAUAAACUAGGACUUAACAGCACUAAUAAAACUGUAGCUAUUAUAAUCUUUUUUUUUUUUUUUUCCUUUGCUACAAGAAUUGGCAUCUCACUCCUUCUGUAAGAAAUUAUUAUCCUUUGAUCACAGUAAAAAGCUCCAGCAUGACACAUUCCCCAUCUUCUACAGCAUAAGCUUGUUAAUGCUCGUCACUACUGUAUGUAAGACUUCUGUGACUUUUUUUACUGCUUGGAUUCAAAGUGCAUAGCUUAAUGUUAUAAUUUCACUUGCUUCAAAAGGGUUUCCCUCAUGACUCCUCCUGUAGGCACCAACAAAAUGUUAUUUUCACAGGCUGUCCAACCCAGGAAUUUAACAUCAGAUUUUGGAACAUUAUUUCUAGCUAGAGGUAGUAUGUUUAUAUCUGCUUUUCGUUCUCUGCAACCUGCCUUAUCUGCUAAUGACCUCCAAAGAACAGCAUUAACCACAAUUUAUCUAUGGAUAGAAAAGAACGUACUUGUGAAUAAAACAGAUUCCAUCUUACUCUACCAGAGAAUAUGAUGGGUAAGUGUAGGU
rnacentral:lncRNA from 1 species